rnacentral:rRNA from 1 species
GAAAGCAGUCAAUUGGGAUAUAAAUGGUCUGUAGGCAAUGGUAGAUCAGUGAAAUUUUGGGAAGAUAUUUGGUUUGGUAAUUCUCCACUUGCUACACAAUUCUGGGAUUUAUAUUGCAUAGCUAAUGAUAAGAACAAAACCAUAGUAGAUACUUGGGAUGGAGAGACUCUCAAAAUCUCAUUUAGGAGGAAUUUUGAUGAUGAGUUGAUGCAACAAUGGCUUGAUUUAGAGUCCAUUGCUAGAUCAAUAAUCUUCACUGAAGAGGAAGACAGUUUGAUUUGGCAAUUUGAAUCGAAAGGGAUAUAUUCAUCUAAAUCUUUGUAUGCUGUCAUUAACUUUAGAGGGGUGCAACCUAUUUACACUCCUGCGGUGUGGGACCUAAAGGUUCCACCCAGAAUACAUGGGUUUCUUUGGCUCUUUUCUCAGAAUAAAAUUAUGACCUGUGACAAUCUGAGAAAAAGAGGUAUUCCAAAGCCUCUGGAAUGUAUUCAUUGUAAAGAGAUGGAAUCUGUUCAUCAUUUGUUUUUUGAUUGUGUGGUGGCUAGAGUAGUGUGGAAAGAGUUUGAAAUAAUAUUUGAUAGAACUUUCCAUUCCUUUAUUGAGUUAGCUGCGUGA